CGGCGAGUGAAGCGGCAACAGCUCAAAUUUGAAAUCUGGCCCUUUCAGGGUCCGAGUUGUAAUUUGUAGAGGAUGUUUCGGGUGUGGCUCCGGUCUAAGUUCCUUGGAACAGGACGUCAUAGAGGGUGAGAAUCCCGUAUGUGACUGGUAGCCUACGCUCAUGUGAAACUCCUUCGACGAGUCGAGUUGUUUGGGAAUGCAGCUCAAAAUGGGUGGUAAAUUUCAUCUAAAGCUAAAUAUUGGCCAGAGACCGAUGGCGCACAAGUAGAGUGAUCGAAAGAUGAAAAGCACUUUGGAAAGAGAGUUAAACAGUACGUGAAAUUGUUGAAAGGGAAGCGCUUGCAACCAGACUUGCAUGUAGCUGAUCAACCGGUGUUCUCACCGGUGCACUCAGUUACGUUCAGGCCAGCAUCGGUUUCCACGGUUGGAUAAAGGCCUUGGGAAUGUAGCUCCUCUCGGGGAGUGUUAUAGCCCAGGGUGCAAUGCAGCCUGUUGGGACCGAGGACCGCGCUUCGGCUAGGAUGCUGGCGUAAUGGUUGUAAGCGACCCGUCUUGAAACACGGACCAAGGAGUCUAACAUCUAUGCGAGUGUUUGGGUGUCAAACCCAUACGCGUAAUGAAAGUGAACGGAGGUGAGAACCCUUAAGGGUGCAUCA
rnacentral:rRNA from 1 species